rnacentral:sRNA from 2 species
UAUUCUGCCCCAUGGGGAAGGAUGAGAAGCUUCGACUAAGGUUCGACUCGAGCGAAGCGAGAGAACGUUGCCGCAGGCAACGGCCCGAAGGCGAGGCGCUUUAGCGCCGAGUAAUCCUUCCCCCCACCA